rnacentral:rRNA from 1 species
UGGGGAAUAUUGCACAAUGGGCGCAAGCCUGAUGCAGCCAUGCCGCGUGUGUGAAGAAGGCCUUCGGGUUGUAAGCACUUUCAGUCGUGAGGAAGGUAGUGUAGUUAAUAGCUGCAUUAUUUGACGUUAGCGACAGAAGAAGCACCGGCUAACUCCGUGCCAGCAGCCGCGGUAAU